UAGCUCACUGGUCGAGUCGGCCUGCGCGGAAGAUGUAACGGGGCUAAACCAUGCACCGAAGCUGCGGCAGCGACGCUUAUGCGUUGUUGGGUAGGGGAGCGUUCUGUAAGCCUGUGAAGGUGUGCUGUGAGGCAUGCUGGAGGUAUCAGAAGUGCGAAUGCUGACAUAAGUAACGAUAAAGCGGGUGAAAAGCCCGCUCGCCGGAAGACCAAGGGUUCCUGUCCAACGUUAAUCGGGGCAGGGUGAGUCGACCCCUAAGGCGAGGCCGAAAGGCGUAGUCGAUGGGAAACAGGUUAAUAUUCCUGUACUUGGUGUUACUGCGAAGGGGGGACGGAGAAGGCUAUGUUGGCCGGGCGACGGUUGUCCCGGUUUAAGCGUGUAGGCUGGUUUUCCAGGCAAAUCCGGAAAAUCAAGGCUGAGGCGUGAUGACGAGGCACUACGGUGCUGAAGCAACAAAUGCCCUGCUUCCAGGAAAAGCCUCUAAGCAUCAGGUAACAUCAAAUCGUACCCCAAACCGACACAGGUGGUCAGGUAGAGAAUACCAAGGCGCUUGAGAGAACUCGGGUGAAGGAACUAGGCAAAAUGGUGCCGUAACUUCGGGAGAAGGCACGCUGAUAUGUAGGUGAAGUCCCUCGCGGAUGGAGCUGAAAUCAGUCGAAGAUACCAGCUGGCUGCAACUGUUUAUUAAAAACACAGCACUGUGCAAACACGAAAGUGGACGUAUACGGUGUG
rnacentral:rRNA from 1 species